AGCCUAGGCAACAUGGCAAAACCCUGUCUCUACAAAAAACAAAAAAAACAAGAGGGUGUGGUGGCACAUGCCUGUAGACUUAGCUACUCAGAAGGCUGAGGUAGGGGGAUCACUUGAGCCUUGGAGGUUCAGGGUGCGUUGAGCCCUGAUAGUACCAUUGCACUCUAGCCUGGGCGACAGACUGAGACCCUGUCUCAAAAAAGAAACAAACACCAAAAACAAAAACAAAAAACAAAACAAAAAAAAACACUCCUCCCUACCUGAUCAGGUGUCUGUAUUAGCUGAGUACUGUGCACUUGAAUGCAGUCUGGCAUAUAACAAGUGCUAUAUAACAGUCACCUUUUACUAUUAUCAUUAUUAUUAUUUAUUUUGUUUUCUUUUUUGAGACGGAGUUUCCCUCUUGUUGCCCAGGCUGGAGUGCAAUGGCGCGAUCUC
rnacentral:lncRNA from 1 species